AUUGAACGCUGGCGGCAGGCUUAACACAUGCAAGUCGAGCGGAGAGAGGUAGCUUGCUACUGAUCUUAGCGGCGGACGGGUGAGUAAUGCUUAGGAAUCUGCCUAUUAGUGGGGGACAACAUUUCGAAAGGAAUGCUAAUACCGCAUACGUCCUACGGGAGAAAGCAGGGGAUCUUCGGACCUUGCGCUAAUAGAUGAGCCUAAGUCGGAUUAGCUAGUUGGUGGGGUAAAGGCCUACCAAGGCGACGAUCUGUAGCGGGUCUGAGAGGAUGAGCCGCCACACUGGGACUGAGACACGGCCCAGACUCCUACGGGAGGCAGCAGUGGGGAAUAUUGGACAAUGGGCGGAAGCCUGAUCCAGCCAUGCCGCGUGUGUGAAGAAGGCCUUAUGGUUGUAAAGCACUUUAAGCGAGGAGGAGGCUACUUUAGUUAAUACCUAGAGAUAGUGGACGUUACUCGCAGAAUAAGCACCGGCUAACUCUGUGCCAGCAGCCGCGGUAA
rnacentral:rRNA from 1 species